GAGGAAGACCCUUCCCUGGUGCGUGGCGCCCCUCCAUUCCACUGCACAGUAAGCAGGAGGUGUGCCUGGCGACCCUCCACUCCACCGCACAGUAAGCAGGAGGUGUGCCUGGCGACCCUCCACUCCACCGCACAGUAAGCAGGAGGUGUGCCUGGCGACCCUCCACUCCACCGCACAGUAAGCAGGAGGUGUGCCUGGCGACCCUCCACUCCACCGCACAGUAAGCAGGAGGUGUGCCUGGCGACCCUCCACUCCACCGCACAGUAAGCAGGAGGUGUGCCUGGCGACCCUCCACUCCACCGCACAGUAAGCAGGAGGUGUGCCUGGAGACCCUCCACUCCGCUGCACAGUAAGCAGGAGGUGUGCCUGGUGGCCCUCCACAGUAAGCAGGAGGUGUGCCUGGCGACCCUCCACAGUAAGCAGGAGGUGUGCCUGGCGACCCUCCACUCCACUG